rnacentral:rRNA from 1 species
UACGAAGGGGGCUAGCGUUGUUCGGAAUCACUGGGCGUAAAGGGCGCGUAGGCGGCCGUUCAAGUCGGGGGUGAAAGCCUGUGGCUCAACCACAGAAUGGCCUUCGAUACUGGACGGCUCGAGACCGGAAGAGGUCAGUGGAACUGCGAGUGUAGAGGUGAAAUUCGUAGAUAUUCGCAAGAACACCAGUGGCGAAGGCGGCUGACUGGUCCGGUUCUGGCGCUGAGGCGCGAAAGUGCGGGGAUCAAACAGG